rnacentral:rRNA from 1 species
UGGUCGGACACCGAGCCUCUGUAAAGCUCCUUCGACGAGUCGAGUAGUUUGGGAAUGCUGCUCAAAAUGGGAGGUAUAUGUCUUCUAAAGCUAAAUAUUGGCCAGAGACCGAUAGCGCACAAGUAGAGUGAUCGAAAGAUGAAAAGCACUUUGAAAAGAGGGUUAAAAAGUACGUGAAAUUGUUGAAAGGGAAGCGCCUAUGACCAGACUUGGGCCCGGUGAAUCAUCCAGCGUUCUCGCUGGUGCACUUUGCCGGGCACAGGCCAGCAUCAGUUUGGCGCGGGGGAAAAAGGCUUCGGGAAUGUGGCUCCCUCGGGAGUGUUAUAGCCCGCUGCGUAAUACCCUGCGCCGGACUGAGGUACGCGGAUGCUG